GUGUGUAUGCGUGCACAUGCAGUCAUAUUGUGGUGUUUGUCUUUUAGAUGCUGGUGAGACAGAGACUGUGGAGGACUCUCCUCCUCCUGAGAGUUUCAGGCUGGACCACACACCAGAGUAAGCAUACCCACGGUUUCCUUUCACAACUGCGUAUCUGAGCGUGUCUUUAACACUGAUCUGUGAUGUGUUUUGAUAGCAACCCUUAUUCAAGCUCCAUAAGGGAGAUGCUGAUGACAUUUGGGACCGCCACUUAUAAAGUUGGCCUUAAGGUGCACCCUAAUGAGCAGGACCCCCGUGUGCCUAUCAUGUGCUGGGGCAGCUGUUCUUGCACCAUCCAGUCUAUAGAGAGAUUAUUGGUAGAUGAGGAGAAGCCUUUGUUUGAAAGUUUACCCUGUAGACAGGUAUGACAACCCAACUUAUUGUCAUAUCUCAGCCCAGCCAGGACUCGGUUUCCCGAGAAGCAACACAGUAUUCUACUGUGUUUAUUCGAUAAGUGACUUUGGCCUUUGCAUACGUCCCCGACCACGAUUUCUGUCUUACCCCGUUUGUUUUGUUUGCAUGAUCGCCUGACCCUCGCUUGCUUCUUGACUAUGGACUGUGUUCACCCCUCUGGAUUAUUCUGCCUGAACCUGCCGCCCGCUUCUGCUUCUGUAUUCCCCACGGAGACUAUUUGAGUUCCCUGGCUCGGUUUGGCUCUGCAUGCUGGACUGUCUCCUCUCACUCCUCUGUGCAAAAUCACUUCAUGCGACUGUUGGCAGCACUUGUUCUUGCUCCCCAGAUGGAAAGUUCCCCCUGCAUUCUGGAUGUGGACAUGUUCCACUUAGUGGUGAGCUGAAAAGCUUGUUAAAUGAUACU